UACGAAGGGUGCAAGCGUUACUCGGAAUUACUGGGCGUAAAGCGUGCGUAGGUGGUGAGUUAAGUCUGUUGUGAAAGCCCCGGGCUCAACCUGGGAAUGGCGAUGGAUACUGGCUCGCUAGAGUGCGGUAGAGGAGAGUGGAAUUCCCGGUGUAGCAGUGAAAUGCGUAGAGAUCGGGAGGAACAUCAGUUGCGAAGGCGGCUCUCUGGACCAGCACUGACACUGAGGCACGAAAGCGUGGGGAGCAAACAGG
rnacentral:rRNA from 1 species